rnacentral:rRNA from 1 species
UACGUAGGUGACCAGCGUUGUCCGGAUUUACUGGGCGUAAAGAGCGCGCAGGCGGUCGUUCAAGUCGAGUGUGAAAGCCCCCGGCUCAACUGGGGAGGGGCACUCGAUACUGAUCGACUUGAAGGCAGGAGAGGGAAGCGGAAUUCCCGGUGUAGUGGUGAAAUGCGUAGAUAUCGGGAGGAACACCUGAGGCGAAGGCGGGCUACUGGGCCGAUACUGACGCUGAGGCGCGAAAGCCAGGGGAGCAAACGGG